CCCAAGGCCCCAGGGCGACCGGCGGUCGGGCCAGCAAGUCCCAAAGCCCGGUCUCCCGAGACCGCAGCGGCUCUCCCGGGCCUUAGCGGGGCCCAGGCGGUGACUGCCGCCGCCACUGCCGGAAUCUCCACCAUCCGGGCGAGGCGCCCCGCGCUGCACCGCUCUGAACUGGAGCGGAUCGCUCUCCGCCUCCUACACCCUGGGGAGCCCCGGAGGGUCCGCGCCUGGAGCCCGAGGCCAGGGUUUCCUUCACUUGACACGUGCUAAGUCCCCUCCCCCGCCCCGGGUAACGCCUCGUCUUGGGCGAUGUCAACCCUGGCUUGUGGAAGUGCUUUUGGACACACGGUAGCAGGGGGAAGCUUGCUGACCCUAGAAUGCUGAUUUCAUCCUGAGCUCAUGAGCUUUCGACUUGCAGAAGUGGGGCUCAGACCCAUCCCAGAUGCGCUGAUCUUCUUGGUCAGGCAUUUGUUCACAAGCAAUAUAACCAGAGAGCCGGCUUUUAAAAACAUCUCAACAAUUUAACUUCGUGGUUUCAGGAAUGAGUGACUUCAGGUCAAACAACAUCCAGAGACCAUAUUUCCGAGGGCAACUCUGCGCCCAUGUCCUGGCACAUGAAACCAUCACCAAACGCGAACGGGAAGUGUCCACUUCCUGCCUAGGUGCUGCUGGGGCCGCUGCCACCCCUGUUGACCGGAUUCAGAACCCGAUCUUUCGCGACCGCUGUGGCACCCACACCGGUGUCGCUACCUCCCCGCGCAGGCUCAAUUAAUUUGGGCACAGCUCAGUGACACCUUCAAAGCCACUCGUAUGGAAAGGACCGCGGGCGGGACGCGGCCGCCGGGACUCAGGUUAAAUUUAGUCCGUAGCUGAGCUAAUCGCUCCUCCAACUCACCCAAUGGACCAGUGUUUGACCCAGGGGGCGAAACAACGGAUAAAGCAGUCUCCGCCAGAAUUUCAAAAACUCCCUGGAGGCCACUGAAUGUUUUAUGCAUCAGAAGGGAAGGCUGGGAUUCCGGUCACUGUGGCUAGGAUGGGGGAGGGCUCGGCCAGCAGGGU
rnacentral:lncRNA from 1 species